rnacentral:rRNA from 1 species
GAGCUUGCUCUUCGAUUCGCGGCGGACGGGUGAGUAAUGCCUAGGAAUCUGCCUGGUAGUGGGGGACAACGUUUCGAAAGGAACGCUAAUACCGCAUACGUCCUACGGGAGAAAGCAGGGGACCUUCGGGCCUUGCGCUAUCAGAUGAGCCUAGGUCGGAUUAGCUAGUUGGUGAGGUAAUGGCUCACCAAGGCUACGAUCCGUAACUGGUCUGAGAGGAUGAUCAGUCACACUGGAACUGAGACACGGUCCAGACUCCUACGGGAGGCAGCAGUGGGGAAUAUUGGACAAUGGGCGAAAGCCUGAUCCAGCCAUGCCGCGUGUGUGAAGAAGGUCUUCGGAUUGUAAAGCACUUUAAGUUGGGAGGAAGGGCAGUAAGCUAAUACCUUGCUGUUUUGACGUUACCGACAGAAUAAGCACCGGCUAACUCUGUGCCAGCAGCCGCGGUAAUACAGAGGGUGCAAGCGUUAAUCGGAAUUACUGGGCGUAAAGCGCGCGUAGGUGGUUUGUUAAGUUGGAUGUGAAAGCCCCGGGCUC